GAGGAUAUUUGUGCUGAGGUGCCUGAGUAUUACUGCCCCGACGGGUGUUUCUAAAUCAUCAAAUCAUCAUUAUUCAUCAUUAUUCCACAGUACAAAAUGAUUCCUGAUUGGCAGCUCGACCUGGUCCAGAUGAAUGCCUCGGCUAGAAAUAAGGUUAAUGUCGUGCCUCACCAUGUUGGCACCAGGACUGAAUCUGAAACCUGGGAUCAAUGUCAAAACAAAUCCUCCAAGAUCUGGUCAUCGAAUCACCUGUGGAAAGUUGAAGAAGCAGAAUCAGAGAUCACUUCCAAAUGUGGAAACUGUGUCGAAGGUGAUGUUUGUCCUCGCAUUCCUGAUCUAUCUGUGCAGCACACAUACAGACGCGCGGUAGACUCUUCACGUACUAUCUGAUGACGACAGUGUUGUUUCGCUAACUGAUGAGGAUAGCAUCAUUUAACCAAUUGUGGGUCUCUGCAUGGCUUGUUGUUUUUAUCUUCCCCUGAAUGAUGGGCUAAAACACUGAAGUGAUCGUUGAUCUGUGAAGCCGAACUUUUUCGAUUUUGAAUCAGUUUUUAAUCAUUUAAUCCUUCAAUAAAAAAUGUUUAAAACUAGUAAAUAAAACAUUUAGCCUAAAAAAAAACACAUUCAAGAACUAGGCUGAAUCAUAUUCUUUGUGCUGAUUGUCUUCUGUGGGGACCCCUGCUGGAGGAAGAUAGUCAUGGUAAAGACAGCAUAACAACAUGGACUUGGCCAUUGGACAUGGCUAAUGGCUAGCUCUUUUUGCAGACGGCGAUUAUAUCUGAGGAGUCUUAGGUUUUAAUCAAGGGUUUCUGAUCAUAUUUUAUAAUUUUUUUUUCAAUUACGUGGACGUGGACAGAAAUAAAAAACAAAUAAAUGAGGGAAUAAAGGCUAAACAGGAAGUGUCUGACUAACAUUUUCUCUGUACUACUAUACUAUGUGAGUAAAUGUAAAUUUUAAAGUUAUUACUUACAUUGAAAAAUUUAAAUACAUUUAUAUAUGUAUAUGAUUUGUGUUUUCAUAAAAGCAGUUUUCCUAGAUGCUGUUUUUAAAUGCAAACUUUAAUGUGAUUUAAAUUUGUUGCAUCACAGUUAAAAGCCUUUCGACCUGGGCCCAGGAUAACUCUGAGGUAAUGGGGCAGGAGGCAAAUACACAAACCACUAUUUACUUUACUUUACCAGCCAGUCUUCUUCAUAUCACUCUCACUCAGCUGGAAAAAAAAAAGGAACGGCAGUAGACACACCUGUUCACCUCUGGUCCAAAAAUAGCACAGGUUGGUCAAGAUCCCACACCUAACGGCAAUAAAACAAACGACCCAGGCCGAGGGUCCAAAACUAAGGGCUGGGACACGGCGAUGUCACAAAACAACUUUUUCUGUGUUGUAAUAAAUAAAUAAAAAUUAAUAAAUAAAGUUGUAUUUUGCAAA